rnacentral:rRNA from 1 species
AACGAACGCUGGCGGCAGGCUUAACACAUGCAAGUCGAACGGGCACCUUCGGGUGUCAGUGGCAGACGGGUGAGUAACGCGUGGGAACGUACCCUUCGGUUCGGAAUAACCCAGGGAAACUUGGGCUAACACCGGAUACGUCCGCAAGGAGAAAGAUUUAUCGCCGAAGGAUCGGCCCGCGUCGGAUUAGCUAGUUGGUGGGUAAUGGCCCACCAAGGCGACGAUCCGUAGCUGGUCUGAGAGGAUGANCA